rnacentral:rRNA from 1 species
CACGCCGUAAACGAUGAAUACUAGGUGUGGGGGUUUCAACACCUCCGUGCCGCCGCUAACGCAUUAAGUAUUCCGCCUGGGGAGUACGGUCGCAAGAUUAAAACUCAAAGGAAUUGACGG